rnacentral:rRNA from 1 species
UACGGGGGGGGCGAGCGUUGUUCGGAAUUACUGGGCGUAAAGCGCACGUAGGCGGAUCGAUCAGUCAGGGGUGAAAUCCCAGAGCUCAACUCUGGAACUGCCUUUGAUACUGUCGGUCUAGAGUAUGGAAGAGGUGAGUGGAAUUCCGAGUGUAGAGGUGAAAUUCGUAGAUAUUCGGAGGAACACCAGUGGCGAAGGCGGCUCACUGGUCCAUUACUGACGCUGAGGUGCGAAAGCGUGGGGAGCAAACAGG